AAAAAAACAAAAAGGCUUCACCUCCCCGGAUCCUGCGUGCCUCGUUGGCGUCCUUGGUGACCUCGGUGUCAGACAGCCAUAAAGUUUCUGACCAGCAGCCACACGAUCAGAUGUCCCUGUGUGACACAAUGAACGCUGGGUGUCUGGAUCGUCAGGGACCAAUCAGGCAUGAAAGAUUCUCUCCCAGGAAAAACACGUCAAAGAUGUCAAGUCAUUUUGAACCUCUUCAGUUAUUUCCCAGGACAAAUGUCCCCGUGCACAAAGCAGACAUGGCUGACCAGUCUGCUGCCAAAGAACUCGACUGGCCUGCACAGAAACUUUCAUUUCUUAACUGUGUUCAAAUCUGAGGUACUUGUACUCUUUGUUCUUCUGCACCACAUCUCAAAUACUGCACUUUUCACUCCACUGUGUUUAUUUGACAGCUUCAGUUACUACUGGCUGGUUGUGACUGCAUUUCUCACAACUUAGAGAUGAGAUCAGACAAAGCAGGACAACAAGUGCAGUGGACACUUAACUGCAAUACUCUGAGUACUUUAAGUACUGAUUAUAAUUUCAUACAUUUACUGACAUUUUCAAUGCAUAACUGUUGCUUGUAACAUUGUCCAUUUUGGUAUGAGUACUUCUACUGCAGUAAAGGAUCUGACUGACAUGAAUACUUA